rnacentral:sRNA from 2 species
ACAAUUGUCAAAGGGGAGUAGCGUUAAGGAUGUUUGGCAUCCUUAAAACAAAGUCGUCAUUACAUGAUUUCGUUUUUCAGAAGUCAUCGGCUUUGUUGGCAUUCUGAAAAAAUGUCCAGCAAGACCUUUGCCUAUAAGGGCAGAGGUCUUGCUUUUUGUCUUUAUAGGAAGAU